rnacentral:rRNA from 1 species
CCUACGGGUGGCAGCAGUGGGGAAUAUUGCGCAAUGGGCGAAAGCCUGAACCAGCCAAGUAGCGUGAAGGAUGACUGCCCUACGGGUUGUAAACUUCUUUUAUAAAGGAAUAAAGUGAGGCACGUGUGCCUUUUUGUAUGUACUUUAUGAAUAAGGAUCGGCUAACUCCGUGCCAGCAGCCGCGGUAAUACGGAGGAUCCGAGCGUUAUCCGGAUUUAUUGGGUUUAAAGGGAGCGUAGAUGGGUUGUUAAGUCAGUUGUGAAAGUUUGCGGCUCAACCGUAAAAUUGCAAUUGAUACUGGCAGCCUUGAGUACAGUUGAGGUAGGCGGAAUGCGUGGUGUAGCGGUGAAAUGCUUAGAUAUCACGAAGAACUCCGAUUGCGAAGGCAGCUUACUAAACUGCAACUGACAUUGAUGCUCGAAAGUGUGGGUAUCAAACAGGAUUAGAUACCCGGGUAGUC